rnacentral:tRNA from 1 species
GGAAGGAUGGCCGAGUGGCUGAAGGCGCUCGCCUCGAAAGCGAGUAUACCUUAACGGGUAUCGUGGGUUCAAAUCCCACUCCUUCCG